UAAGACUCACAGCCCCACAAAGAGAUGGGCCCAUGUAGGAAAGUAUAGAGAAGCUCAAGAGAACACCAGCAUUUCAUCCUACCAUACAUCCCACAAUGGAUUCAUUUAAAUGUUGCAGACAGCGGCAUCUAUGAGUGGUGAUCCAAGCCUGGGGAUUCCGUGGAAAAGAAGAUGCAGGAGAUGGUAAGGAAAUGCAGAUGCCCCAGAGAAGGGGCCUGCUAAUAAGCUAUGCAGACUCUUGUGUAACACAGCUCUCCCGGGCACUUUUCUGCAGCUAAAAAAUAAAUUUAUAUUUUACAAUUA